rnacentral:lncRNA from 10 species
GCAGAAGUGCAGCUGGGGGCCAUUUUGUCAAGAAGUGCUUAUUUGGAAAAACAAAACAAAACAAAAAAUGAAAAAAAAAAAAAAAAUCUAUACAGGUGCAUGCCAGUCCCCCGGUAAUGAAAUGUAACAAAGGAAGCACUUAAGUUCAGUGAGGGAAAUACAGCUUUAAAUUACAGAUUGUACCCAGAGCACUUUAUAAACGGUAAUGUGUGAUAAUGUAUUAUCCUUACUUCUGUGAAAUUGUGGACUGCAACUUCUGCCGGGGCCAGUUAAAGGGCCAGGAGAUGGAGAGGGUUGCGUGAAUGCCAUUCAAGAAAAGGGCAACAGAGGCUAAGGGGUUAAACUCCCCAGAAAACCAAUUUAUGCAAAGGGCUGGAUCCUGACCGGCAUUCUGCACUAAAGAUCUGAAUUACAAAUUUAGAGAAUUUGCUGCUCGAUGCAGAAACUGAGGCUCCAAGAUGACCUAGGACUAGGUCAUGCGGUAACGGCCUGGCCACUUUGACUUGGAAUCUGGCCCUCAGCUCACCUGUUGUCCCCGGCUCUCUUCUGUUCACUGCCCGCUCUUUCCAACCCUCGGUCUCAGGCUCCUUGCAGUGACUGCGCUGAUUGUCACAAGCCUCGGUUCAGCCCACACCAGUGUGGACAGAUGUCUUCCCUUUUCAAGCCUCCAUUUGUUCACCUGCUAAACCUGCCUGCAGAUUGCGCUGCACACAAUCUAGCACUUCAGGGGCUCAUGAAAAUGGGAAAGGGGAAGGCUGGGAAAGGGCCAUCAAAGAAGUGGUGCUUAGGGGAAGGGAGAAACCCAGUCUUCCAUCAAUCAGAAUAGUUUCACUUUUAUCAUAUGUGUCUGUGUGUGCGUAUAUGCAUAUAUCCGCACACACACACACACACACCCAGGUUUUGUGACAUUUUCUUUUGUAAACAAAAAAGUCCCUUUGCUCAAAAAGAAAGGAAAAUGUUUUCAAACAGUUGGACUUUGUGAAUGCCAAGGGCUUCCUUCCAGUUCUUUUCAGAUUUUUGAAAACCAAGUGGGUUGCUCUCAGUUAGAACUCAAGUAGCAUGAUGGAGAAGGAGGAAAAAAGGACCUGACUAACGAGGACGUCACUGUGAGACAAAGAUCAUGCAGGGAUCGGCCUGCGGUGUGUCUCAUUUCCUGUGGGUAACAGGCACCACAAUAGUUCUGUGGGUGGUGACAGGCUCGGCUGCCAGCAUUCCCCUCCCAGGAAGGCGGUCAGGCAACCCUGGGGAAUGUGUCCAGCUUGAAAGUCUUCGAGGCUUGGUCUUUGGAAAGCGGCAGGGAAGCCCCCCUCCGUCCUCCAUCAUUGCUGGAGGCCUUGUGACACUGGGACGAUGCAGGACUUGGGGUCUAGGGGGCCUGAGCUGAAUGCUGCCUCUGUCUCUGACAACCUGUGGAAUGUUCAGCAAAAGACACAGCUUCUUGGAGGCCUGGCUUAUGUGUCUGGGAGGUGUGGCAGAAGCAGUCCCAGCCUGAAGGGAUGCUGCCAUCCUAAAGAGAUGAGGAAUCACCAGGCCAAUCUCCAUCAGCUCUCCCAAGAAAUAUGACCUGUAUUAACUAGCUCCUAAUGACCUUCAACAGCCAUUCUCCACCACAGCAGCAAAAUAAAAUCUUCGAAUGUUAUCAACAGGGGCCAAGACUUCUUACUUAAUAUCUGUAAGUGCAACAGCUCAAUGCAUCAAAAUGGUACUUCCAUAGAACACAUUACUAAAGAAAUCACAACAAUGGAGCAUGUGGUUGUUCUACCUUCGUAUCCUUUCUGAGAAUACCAGCUGCAGAAGCACAGGAAGCAGCAAUUACACAUGAGUCAAAGGGUGAGCUUUAGAACAACAAAAUGACAACAAAACAACAAACUGAGUUGGAAUUCUGGCUCUCCCGCUUACCAGCUCCCGGACCGUGGAAAAAUCCCAUAAAUACUCACUAGUCUCUGUGUCCUUAUGUCCAUCAUGGGGCAGAGAGAGCACUUGUUUCCUAGAGUUCUCUAUUAAUAAAUGAGAUACUGCGUGCAAAGUGCCUAGCAGACAAUAAAUAAACGGUAGCUCUCAUUGUUGUUACUGCCGAUAACUGAAAAGUGCUGAACGACUACAGAGACCCUCUUAGGGUAGAAAGGAAUGCAAGUCAUUGGUAGGGACAGGAAUUGACCAAAUUAAUGCUUCCUUCAGAAAUCUUUCCUUAAAGAGCAAAUCAGUAUUAACAUUUUAAUGCUCAGAGAAGAAUUUCAUAUGGAAGACUUUCGGUUUUCUGUUUUGUAACUACCGUCACAGACCACCCUCUUUCCACCUCCAAUAGUACAUUUCAACAGAUUUUGUUAGACUUACUAGAUUGAAUGUAAUUAAUUUAAAAAACCCUCUGAUUUCAUGGCUGCCUCCUCAUUUGGACUUUUAAUUUACCCAUUAUUAAAGCUCACAGUAUUUCUCUAAGCCUGAGAACAUUAUUCCAACAAAGAUUUUCUUACAAAUCUAAUGGUCCAAAGAAAGAUAUGAGGAGGAGUAAAUGAAAUAAGGUAGGUGAAAAUAGUUUGGAGGAGGAAAGCAUUUUCAAGUGUAAGGUGUUAUUAAUAUUGACGAAGUAUAAAACUGUAUCUAGAUCUACCACCUUUCUGGUUUCAUUUGCCUACCUGCUUUGUGGACACAUGAAUGCAGUAUUCUACCCACUCACUUUAUAAAAAUACACCAGCACUUCAAAUAUUCAAUUUCUUGACAUACAGCUGAAUUAAUAUGUAUAAGAAUCUUUUCCUAUUUAGGGCAUGACAGAUGUCUUAGAUAUUCCUCGCAAUUGUUUAAAAUCCUGCAGGAGCCCGCAGGAUUUCUGUGAAGUGCUACAUCUCUAUGUGUUGAAUGCACUGUUAGGACUUACAUGAUUCUGUUUUCCUUUCCCUAAAAUAUAGUUAUUUUAAAAAUGAUACUUUUCCUAUUUUUAUUUAUUUAUUUAAGACGGAGUCUCGCUCUGUCGCCCAGGCUGGAGUGCAGUGGCGCGAUCUCAGCUCACUGCAAGCUCUGCCUCCCGGAUUCACGCCAUUCUCCUGCCUCAGCC